UUCGGGUAUUUUUCAGCUCCAAUAGCGUAUAUUAAAGUUGUUGCAGUUAAAAAGCUUGUAGUCGGAUUUCGGGCUGGUCGUGCGGGUCUGCCGUUGGGUAUGUACUUGCGUCGUCCGGUCAGUAUGGCGUAGGUGCGUCGCCUCGUUGAUUCGUGUGCGUCGUUCUCUGCGCCCGUUUACUUUGAGAAAAUCAGAGUGUUCAAAGCAGGCCUUUGCCAUUGUAUGUGUUAGCAUGGGAUAAUGGAAUAGGACCUUGGUGUUAUUUUGUUGGUUUCGAACGCCGAGGUAAUGAUGAAUAGGGACAGUCAGGGGCACUUGUAUUCCGUAGAGAGAGGUGAAAUUUUUAGACCCACGGAAGACGCAAUACUGCGAAAGCAUUUGCCAGGGAUGUUUUCACUGAUCAAGAACGAAAGUUAGGGGAUUGAAGAUGAUCAGAUACCGUUGUAGUUUUAACCAUAAACCAUGCCGACCAGGGAUUGGUGGUUGUCAUCUUGACAUCAUCAGCACCUCGAGAUCAGCU
rnacentral:rRNA from 2 species